rnacentral:pre_miRNA from 1 species
AAUAAAUCAACUUUUGAGUUUUUAUACAAUGUUUAGCUCUUCGUCUUAUUAAAAAAAUUUAUGAUUAAUAAUUUUAUUUUUAUUAGAUGAUAAAAUAUGAAUAGUAUUUUAUGUGUGAAUAAUUUUUUAAAAAAAAUUUGAAAAUUUUUCAAAUAAGACGAAUGGUCAAACGCUCGACACAAAAACC